AACUGAGGGUAGCGGAGAAAUUCCAAUCGAACCUGGAGAUAGCUGGUUCUCUCCGAAAUAGCUUUAGGGCUAGCCUCAAGUGAUGAUUAUUGGAGGUAGAGCACUGUUUGGACGAGGGGCCCCUCUCGGGUUACCGAAUUCAGACAAACUCCGAAUGCCAAUUAAUUUAACUUGGGAGUCAGAACAUGGGUGAUAAGGUCCGUGUUCGAAAGGGAAACAGCCCAGACCACCAGCUAAGGUCCCAAAAUAUAUGUUAAGUGGAAAAGGAUGUGGCGUUGCCCAGACAACUAGGAUGUUGGCUUAGAAGCAGCCAUCAUUUAAAGAGUGCGUAAUAGCUCACUAGUCGAGUGACACUGCGCCGAAAAUGUACCGGGGCUAAACAUAUUACCGAAGCUGUGGAUUGUCCUUUGGACAAUGGUAGGAGAGCGUUCUAAGGGCGUUGAAGCAUGAUCGUAAGGACAUGUGGAGCGCUUAGAAGUGAGAAUGCCGGUGUGAGUAGCGAAAGACGGGUGAGAAUCCCGUCCACCGAUUGACUAAGGUUUCCAGAGGAAGGCUCGUCCGCUCUGGGUUAGUCGGGUCCUAAGCUGAGGCCGACAGGCGUAGGCGAUGGAUAACAGGUUGAUAUUCCUGUACCACCUAUAAUCG
rnacentral:rRNA from 1 species